UACAGGGGGGGCAAGCGUUGUUCGGAAUUACUGGGCGUAAAGGGCCAGUAGGCGGCCAACUAAGUCCGACGUGAAAUCCCCAGGCUUAACCUGGGAACUGCGUCGGAUACUGGAUGGCUUGAAUUCGGGAGAGGGAUGCAGAAUUCCAGGUGUAGCGGUGAAAUGCGUAGAUAUCUGGAGGAAUACCGGUGGCGAAGGCGGCAUCCUGGACCGAUAUUGACGCUGAAUGACGAAAGCUAGGGGAGCAAACGGG
rnacentral:rRNA from 1 species